CCUACGGGGUGCAGCAGUGGGGAAUAUUGGACAAUGGGGGCAACCCUGAUCCAGCAAUGCCGCGUGUAUGAAGAAGGUCUUCGGAUUGUAAAGUACUUUCGACAGGGACGAUGAUGACGGUACCUGUAGAAGAAGCCCCGGCUAACUUCGUGCCAGCAGCCGCGGUAAUACGAAGGGGGCUAGCGUUACUCGGAAUGACUGGGCGUAAAGGGCGCGUAGGCGGCUUAUACAGUCAGAUGUGUAAUUCCUGGGCUUAACCUGGGACCUGCAUUUGAUACGUAUAGGCUAGAGUGUGAAAGAGGAUUGUGGAAUUCCAAGUGUAGAGGUGAAAUUCGUAGAUAUUUGGAGGAACUCCGGUGGCGAAGGCGGCAAUCUGGUUCACAACUGACGCUGAGGCGCGAAAGCGUGGGGAGCAAACAGGAUUAGAUACCCUCGUAG
rnacentral:rRNA from 1 species